AUUUGUUCCUUUUUAAACUUAUGAAAAUAGAUUAACAUCUUAGAAAACUCCAUAAGAGUGUGUCUGCUCAGUGGUCCUGGAUGCAUCAGGGCAUCAGGUGCCCAGGGGGUUAUUGGGCUAUGGACACUGGGGUACAUGGGUCUUCUGGAGGAGGAGUGGUAAGAUCUGAGCUUCGGACAAUGGACCAGGAUGCAAUAUGUAGAAAGUACAGGCAAAGGAAGAGGAACACACUGAAAUUACUGAAAUUAAAGCAAGUGGCUAAGAGAGAGAAUGGCUACGGCAAAGAUGAACUGCUUACACGGGGAUUCCUGAGUAAUUCAGGGUGUUUCACACUUUGUCUGUAUUGUGGAGUCCACAGAGCUUGACUUGUGAAAAGAAGAUGUGUUUUAUGAUUUUUAAAAUGGGAUCUUUUAAUUUAGGUUUUCUUGGUCCAGUAUUAAAAUUAGACUUUAUUUUCUGAGCACACACAAAUGGACCCAGCCAAGGGAAGACACAGAUGCACUGCGUGAUGGGCAAAGCCAGUCAAGAUUAAAAUACUGCCGUGAGUAACUGUGGUCCUUCUUUAUACUUUAAAAUAACUGCCAUUUGUUAUUAGCAAGUCUUAUGAUGGUCAUGUCAAAAUCUUUUUUGAAAUGAUUUAUUUUCACUGUUCAUAUAAAAGAAAGAUUUCAUUAUUUAGCUAAAAACAAUCACGAACAUUCUCUAAGAAUCAUUUUUUUUUUAUCAAAGAGAAACAUUUUACUUUGAGACACAUUUUUAAAUUUAUGUGUCUUUGAAUGUUUUCAUAUUGUGAUAGCCAAGUGAUUAAAUUUAUUUCUUUUUCUCAAUCUUAAUCUGAUGCUUCCUUUAACUUGAACAUGUUGUUGAGCUUUCUAAAUUUGUAAAUUAUUCACUAGCUGAUUAUAGGUUUAAAAUCAAGCAGACUCUUCCAGGGAAUUCAAAUAGUCCUAAGCAAAAUUGUGAAGAAGUGGCAUUUGUUUCUGGAUCUCUUUAUCCUUUUACCCAUCUUUAACCAGCUCCUGGUCAUUUCUCUCUUUCUACCUGUCAUCUUUCAUCCUUCCCCAGGUCUCUCCUGUUGGGCCACCUGCUCAUGGUACCCAUGUUUCCCCCAUCCUUCUCCUUUCUAGCAGCCCCUCAUUCCCAACAAGAUCUUCCUUUUAUCUACUAUAUUUCCUUUCUCCAGUCUCCUACUUACCACAUUUCACAGUCCUCACUGACAAAUCCCUGCUAUUAUGUUAAUGUGUCACUUUCCUUGGUAAAACACUGCAAUUUAAUAGGAGGCUUUGAUUAUUUAACCAAAAGAAGUUAUUUUAGUGAGAACUUGAGCACCGUGGUAUACCUGAAGGAGGAGAGGUUUACAAUUCACAGUGUGCUAUAGAGUUUUCAAAAUGCUCAAUUUGGUUUAUCUGGAAGGGGCUAGGGAUGAAAGAAUGUAUUUAUUAGCAGGCUUCUGAAAAUGUGGUCAGAUUGCAAGGAAGGCUUAGCUAUACUUUCACCUCUUGAAAUUAAUUGAUUAAUUAAUUAAAAUGUGGUGCUGGGAUUGAAUCAGGGUGUUGCACAUGCUAGGUAAGUGUUUUAUCAUGGAACCAUAUCCUCCCACCAUCUCUUGCCUUUUAAUAAGCAAAAGGCGGUAAGACUGCAUAUUAAAACUGAUUUUUAAAUCAUCCUGAUAGUUGGCAUUCCUGUGAAGAAAGUAAUUUCCAGAACGUUCUAGAGGAAACCUGAAGAGGGAGAUGUGGCAGAUGAUCCAAAUCAGAACAAUUAGGCGAUUUGCUGGGGCCUCUGGAUUGUUUGCCAAUCACUGUAGCCCCCAAACAAGUGGUGUAUAGACUCUAGGUCCUGAGCUAUGGGCUAAGCCCAGAAAGUAUGAGAGUUGAUCUAGGAGAAAAGGGUUUGACAUUUUGUCCUGUGUGCAGGAGGAGGCUGGGAAAGACUGCUCCUGGAUGUCAGGGUGGCUCUGAUCACAGAGACCAGGGGUGGGAAGGAGGGACUGAACAAGGUAUUACAAUGUGAGUCAGCUAGCUCAUGGCUGGGGUCAUUCUCACGGGCCCUAGAACUCUGUCCAGCUCUUCCCUAUUUUCACUGGAUUCCACAGAUCCCCAAAUCCUGAUAUUAUAAAUUUAUAUAGUUAAUGGUCUUUGCUUUUCCUGCAUUUCCUUUUUUGGAUUAUGUAGUUUAUUUUUCUCCCUUAAAAUCUGUCUGGAAAUGCAUACCCAUCUAAGCUCUGUUCAGAAGAGACAAAGGAAAGGUCUCUGACUUCCUCUGAAAUGAAGGAAAAAAAUAGAGAUAGAAUGGGAUUCUUGUAAACCAACAAGCAGAGCAGGGUCAAAGUGAGGUGAACCUUCACGGGACACAAACAGGCAAGAAGGGACAUGUUAGGGAUGGCUGAGGCUUGAGCACCUCCCUUAUCAGAUGGCUUUCCCUUGUGCCAGUCUUUGGAGAAUCUUAUAAUUGGAAUGAUUAAGUCCAGCAUAAGUAUUUUUGGUGGCUACAGAUGGCCCCGGUCUGAUAUGCUGAGGAAGCUGCAUUGGAGGGUCUGGCCACCUUUCCUGCUCCUUUCCUUUCUAGCCCAGUGGGAAUCAAUACCCAAAGAUAGGAGGAUGCUUAAAAACAAGAAAAUCUGAACCAAACCCCAUUUAUAACAUCCUCCACAUUCUUUUUUUUUUUUUAAAAAAAGAUUUAUUUUUUUAAACCUUUAUUUAUUUUUAUAUGAUGCUGAGGAUUGAACCUAGCGCCUCACACGUUAGGCAAGCGCUGUACCACUGAGUCACAACCCCAGCCCCAUCCUCCACAUUCUUAAGAAGCUUAAAAGUAUCACUAGUUGGCAACUCCUUUCUCCCAGAUAGGAGUUGAUAUCCCUUUGGUAAAUUGCUUUUUAAAGUGUGAUUCUAUAGACUUUUAAGAGUCCACUUACAUGCACACUGUAAUUGUGAUUACUAUUGCUGUACAGAGGACAGUGAUUCUAAGUUGAUGGAAGAAAUGUUUUCAUUCUUUAGGUCAUAAUUUCUUUCUUUAUUUGGUUGCUUACUUUCUUUGAGCAUAAUUUCUUCGGACCCAUGUUAGUUUCUAUAGUUAACUCUGUUAUGUAAUUUUUCUCACAAAUUCAUAAUAAUUAUGUCCAUGUGACUUUCUAUAUGAUAGUGUCUAAAAUGAAUGCUUUUUUCUUACAGAAUUUAAGUUUAUUUAGUUCAGUACCUUUUAAUGACUUUCAUUUAUUGUUUUAUUUGCCUUUAAAAACAAAUAGGAAGUCAGGCACAUACUUGUAAUUCCAGAGACUAGGGAGGCUGAGGCAGGAAGAUUGCAAGUUUUGAGGUCCACUUCGGCAACUUAGCAAGGCUCUAAGCAAUAUGGCAAGACCCCACUUCAACAGAAAAAGUUAAAAAAAAAAGCUGGGGAUGUGGCUCAGUGGUAGUGUCGUCCCAGGUCCAAUCCCCAGUAACACAAAACAAACAAAAACAAAACAAAAAAUGCAAAACCUAGUAAUAUCCAAGUGCCUCAUUUUUUUUUCUCCAGUUUUUCCUUCUCUCUCUUUCUACCAGAUGGACUUAAAUGCAGGAAGCCACUGCCAAGAAAACUGUCCUUUUAAUAAUAUUCAGUCGAUUAAAUCCUUUUCCCCAGCUCAGUUCUCUAGGUGCUUCCCAGGGUCAAGUAUUGAACUUGGUCUUUGUUUUUGAAGAAGAAAGUAAAAGCAGCAGUAACUUGAUGGUUUGGGAGUCUGAGAUGCCUCCUCCCUUGGCUCAGGCAGCAGAAAGCAAAGGAGAAGCAUUGUGGAUUCCUUAGGGCUGCCUUAGUGCAGGGGAGACUUUGUUGUCUUUUUUCUUCUUCUUUGUACACCUUUCAAAGGGUUUCCAUGGUCAUUCAUUUAUAUCAUAGCACCAUGAGAUAUGAGGCAUUUCUAAAUGUUUACAGCUUUGUGACCUCUCCAAGGUCCCAAACUCAUGUAGCAGUGGAAUGGAAGCCAGAGCCCAGAACCUAGAACACAAAGCUCCCUGAGAGAGUUUCCAUAUGAAGCACUUCUUUUUGCCUCUGUUUCCUGAUACUUGGAAAUUAUACUUGAAAACAGAAGUCUCUGCUUUCAGGGAGGCUGUAGUAGAGUGGCUAAUAUAUGUUGAGUUUAGCCACAGUCCUAGCACAUAGCUGGUGCUCACUUAAUAGAACUGUUAUAAGAACGAUUUGACAGUAAUAUAACUGGGGGGAGCUAGGGGAUUCUUGGCAGGGUGGCAGGGCUUGGGUGUCAAGUUGACAGAAGACCCGGAGGUCAAUAUUAAUUUUCACAUUUCUCAUCUUCGAUAUUAUAGUUGUCUUCCAUGCCCAUCCGUCCUGACCUUAGGUGGCCAUUCUGAGGACAAUCUGGUAAUUUCAUGUAAGAGGAAAAUAUUCUUGCCCAUAAUUAUACAUAAUUAAGCAUAUCUGGUGAAAAAGAAAGCUGGUUUACAGAUUUAUACUCUCUGAAAAACAUGACUGUGGAUAUAUAAAAUGAAGUUGCUAUUUGAUAGUUAUUCCCUCUCCUUCCUUUUCCUUCUUCCUGAAGACACCUCAGCCUCGCCAGAGUGCAGCCACCAUGAUCUCAGCAGACUGAUGAUGGAAGAGAAGGGAACCAGGAGAUCCUGUGCUUGGCUUUCUGUGGACAAUGGAUGGAGGGCAGCCCAUCCCCUCGCCCCUAGUGCCCCUUGGGAACGUGUCAUCAGAAUCUAGCAUGUCUCUGGAGCAGAAAACAACAUUUGUUUUUGUGAUUUUAUUGUUUAUUUUCUUGGGCAUCCUCAUUGUCAGGUGCUUCCGGAUUCUUCUGGACCCAUAUCGGAGCAUGCCGACCUCUACCUGGGCUGAUGGACUUGAAGGCCUGGAGAAAGGGCAGUUUGACCAUGCCCUUGCUUAGCAGGGGCAGAGCAAGAUCUUCUCCUGAGAAGAAGAAGAGGUGAAGUGCUUCAUAUCUGCGCAAAGAUUCCCUUUAGUCAAUGUUCUGAACAAAUUUUAACAAUAUCUUAUCCUAGGACCACCACUCAUUAUUUCAUAAGCAUGCCAUUGAGUUAGUCUUAUUUGAAGAUAUUGGAAAUGAAAGUUUGUAUUGAUAACCAAAAAUAGGAAUGUUUAAAUAUCUGUGUUUUAUUCAAUGAAUGUAUAUUGUUGAAUGCAAUUGUGAAACCCAGGGCACCAAUACUGAUAUAGACUGCUAUGAAAUAAAGCCCUACUGAGCUGAACAGAGAGGAAAACUAGAGAGGUUCUGUUAGGAACCUGGUUACAGGGCCAGGAAGAGACUGCCUUGCUGUAAUCAUGCCUCUCAGUUUCUUACUUCAUGGGCAUCUGGGUCCUGUGCAGAGGGAGGAAGACACUGAUGAGAGGACCCCAGUUGGGUAUUUGUUUCCUUCUAGAGUACAGCCCUGGGAAGCCACGGGAUGCUCAAGCCAAGAGAUGGUACUGUCCUUGCAAAAUAUGAGUGAGAAUGAUAGCACUUUAUUUUUCAAAUAAAACUGAAUUCAUAAGCUAUAGAGUUUCAAACAAUAUUUACCAAAGUAUGUUCUCUAUUCAUAUUAAUAACAUGUGAAGCUAUACAUAAGACGAAUUUCCUUUCUUUACACUGAUGAUUGAAUUAAUAGGUUGCAAGUGCUGCUUCAAGUUUUUUUCCCUUAAUUAAAAGCUAAUUAUUUAGAGAAAAACAUUUUUACAGCUGUAAGAGGAAUGUGCAUUUACGAUUGCAUAUAGCCACCAAAUAAAACUUUUUAAGAAGCAGCAUCGUCUCCUCUCACUUCACCAAGAUUAACACAUGGGUGGAGAGCCGUGCUGAACGCUGAGGACUUCACAUUUUUCUGAGAAAGAAGAAAGAAUGAAGAGCAUGAAACAUCCUGUAAUUCAUCCUUCUCCCAUUUCAUGAAUGGCUCCCACAACUCAUUCCGUGUGGAUAAAACCUCUUCUAAAUACUUCAAUAAAAAGGGAGAUGUGAACACCUCUCAUUCUAAUUUUUAUUGGUAGAAAAUUUUGUAUCUGAACUAAACCAAUUAGGCUGCAUUCAUAAUCCACCUUCUAAUUUUCUCCUCAGCUACUUAUCAUAUUUUUAUUUAAAAAAACUUUAAUAAGCUAACUAUGUCCAAAAAAGCCACCCUUGUCAGGUGCCAUGGUACACACCUGUAAUCCCAGUGGCUUGAAUGGCUGAGGCAGGAGGAUCUCGAGUUCAAAGCCAGCCUCAGCAACUUAGCAAGGCCCUAAGCCCUUGGCCCUGUCUCUAGA
rnacentral:lncRNA from 1 species